CAUUGUAAAAUAAUAAUAAAAAUCAAUUAAACUCUCCACAUCAUUAUUUUUUCAUGUUAGAUUCCCAUGUCAGGUGCCAUGUCAUCAUUUUGGCCACAUCACCUGCCAAUACCAUGUCUCCAUCGACAAUUAAUGGCUGUUAGGGGCUUCAAUGGAAAAAUGAAUUUGAGGGCUUAAUUGGGUACCAAACAUGAUUCAGAGGGCUCGAUUGGAUGCACUUUUUGUCGAGAGGCUUAACUGAUCUUUUAAUUAUUUUCGAAGGGAUUGAGUAACCAUUUGUUCUAGA
rnacentral:lncRNA from 1 species